CGGCAUGCCUUACACAUGCAAGUCGAACGGCAGCACGGGUGCUUGCACCUGGUGGCGAGUGGCGAACGGGUGAGUAAUACAUCGGAACAUGUCCUGUAGUGGGGGAUAGCCCGGCGAAAGCCGGAUUAAUACCGCAUACGAUCUACGGAUGAAAGCGGGGGACCUUCGGGCCUCGCGCUAUAGGGUUGGCCGAUGGCUGAUUAGCUAGUUGGUGGGGUAAAGGCCUACCAAGGCGACGAUCAGUAGCUGGUCUGAGAGGACGACCAGCCACACUGGGACUGAGACACGGCCCAGACUCCUAGGGAGGCAGCAGUGGGGAAUUUUGGACAAUGGGCGAAAGCCUGAUCCAGCAAUGCCGCGUGUGUGAAGAAGGCCUUCGGGUUGUAAAGCACUUUUGUCCGGAAAGAAAUCCUUGGUUCUAAUAUAGCCGGGGGAUGACGGUACCGGAAGAAUAAGCACCGGCUAACUACGUGCCAGCAGCCGCGGUAAUACGUAGGGUGCGAGCGUUAAUCGGAAUUACUGGGCGUAAAGCGUGCGCAGGCGGUUUGCUAAGACCGAUGUGAAAUCCCCGGGCUCAACCUGGGAACUGCAUUGGUGACUGGCAGGCUAGAGUAUGGCAGAGGGGGGUAGAAUUCCACGUGUAGCAGUGAAAUGCGUAGAGAUGUGGAGGAAUACCGAUGGCGAAGGCAGCCCCCUGGGCCAAUACUGACGCUCAUGCACGAAAGCGUGGGGGAGCAAACAGGAUUAGAUACCCUGGUAGUCCACGCCCUAAACGAUGUCAACUAGUUGUUGGGGAUUCAUUUCCUUAGUAACGUAGCUAACGCGUGAAGUUGACCGCCUGGGGAGUACGGUCGCAAGAUUAAAACUCAAAGGAAUUGACGGGGACCCGCACAAGCGGUGGAUGAUGUGGAUUAAUUCGAUGCAACGCGAAAAACCUUACCUACCCUUGACAUGGUCGGAAUCCUGCUGAGAGGUGGGAGUGCUCGAAAGAGAACCGGCGCACAGGUGCUGCAUGGCUGUCGUCAGCUCGUGUCGUGAGAUGUUGGGUUAAGUCCCGCAACGAGCGCAACCCUUGUCCUUAGUUGCUACGCAAGAGCACUCUAAGGAGACUGCCGGUGACAAACCGGAGGAAGGUGGGGAUGACGUCAAGUCCUCAUGGCCCUUAUGGGUAGGGCUUCACACGUCAUACAAUGGUCGGAACAGAGGGUUGCCAACCCGCGAGGGGGAGCUAAUCCCAGAAAACCGAUCGUAGUCCGGAUUGCACUCUGCAACUCGAGUGCAUGAAGCUGGAAUCGCUAGUAAUCGCGGAUCAGCAUGCCGCGGUGAAUACGUUCCCGGGUCUUGUACACACCGCCCGUCACACCAUGGGAGUGGGUUUUACCAGAAGUGGCUAGUCUAACCGCAAGGAGGACGGUCACCA
rnacentral:rRNA from 1 species